AACGAACGCUGGCGGCAUGCCUAACACAUGCAAGUCGAACGAGACCUUCGGGUCUAGUGGCGCACGGGUGCGUAACGCGUGGGAAUCUACCCUUGGGUUCGGAAUAACUCAGAGAAAUUUGAGCUAAUACCGGAUGAUGUCGCAAGAUCAAAGAUUUAUCGCCCAAGGAUGAGCCCGCGUAGGAUUAGCUUGUUGGUGAGGUAAAAGCUCACCAAGGCGACGAUCCUUAGCUGGUCUGAGAGGAUGAUCAGCCACACUGGGACUGAGACACGGCCCAGACUCCUACGGGAGGCAGCAGUGGGGAAUAUUGGACAAUGGGCGAAAGCCUGAUCCAGCAAUGCCGCGUGAGUGAUGAAGGCCUUAGGGUUGUAAAGCUCUUUUACCCGGGAUGAUAAUGACAGUACCGGGAGAAUAAGACUCCGGCUAACUCCGUGCCAGCAGCCGCGGUAAU
rnacentral:rRNA from 1 species